AACAGGAUUAGAUACCCUGGUAGUCCAUGCCGUAAACGAUGUCUACUAGCCGUUGGGGCCUUUGAGGCUUUAGUGGCGCAGCUAACGCGAUAAGUAGACCGCCUGGGGAGUACGGUCGCAAGACUAAAACUCAAAUGAAUUGACGGGGGCCCGCACAAGCGGUGGAGCAUGUGGUUUAAUUCGAUGCAACGCGAAGAACCUUACCUGGCCUUGACAUACUAGAAACUUUCCAGAGAUGGAUUGGUGCCUUCGGGAAUCUAGAUACAGGUGCUGCAUGGCUGUCGUCAGCUCGAGUCGUGAGAUGUUGGGUUAAGUCCCGCAACGAGCGCAACCCUUUUCCUUACUUGCCAGCAUUUCGGAUGGGAACUUUAAGGAUACUGCCAGUGACAAACUGGAGGAAGGCGGGGACGACGUCAAGUCAUCAUGGCCCUUACGGCCAGGGCUACACACGUGCUACAAUGGUCGGUACAAAGGGUUGCUACACAGCGAUGUGAUGCUAAUCUCAAAAAGCCGAUCGUAGUCCGGAUUGGAGUCUGCAACUCGACUCCAUGAAGUCGGAAUCGCUAGUAAUCGCGGAUCAGAAUGCCGCGGUGAAUACGUUCCCGGGCCUUGUACACACCGCCCGUCACACCAUGGGAGUUUGUUGCACCAGAAGUAGGUAGUCUAACCGCAAGGAGGACGCUUACCACGGUGUGGCCGAUGACUGGGGUGAAGUCGUAACAAGGUAACC
rnacentral:rRNA from 1 species